UUGGAGGGCAAGUCUGGUGCCAGCAGCCGCGGUAAUUCCAGCUCCAAUAGCGUAUAUUAAAGUUGUUGCAGUUAAAAAGCUCGUAGUUGAAUUUCGGGAUCAAUUAAUCGGUCGUGCCUCUGGUACGCACUGGUUUUAUUGGUUUCUCCCUUCUGACGAACCAGGAUGUCAUUAAUUUGGUGUCUUGGAGAAUCAGGACUGUUACUUUGAAAAAAUUAGAGUGUUUAAAGCAGGCUAACGCUUGAAUACAUUAGCAUGGAAUAAUGAAAUAGGACGUUUGAUCCUAUUUUGUUGGUUUCUAGGAUCGACGUAAUGAUUAAUAGGGAUAGUUGGGGGCAUUAGUAUUCAAUUGUCAGAGGUGAAAUUCUUGGAUUUAUUGAAGACUAACUACUGCGAAAGCAUUUGCCAAGGAUGUUUUCAUUAAUCAAGAAUGAAAGUUAGGGGAUCGAAGACGAUCAGAUACCGUCGUAGUCUUAWCCAUAAACUAUGCCGACUAGGGAUCGGAUGAUGUUAAUUUUUUAAUGACUCAUUCGGCGCCUUACGGGAAAC
rnacentral:rRNA from 1 species